UGAGAUAAUGUUCUGUCCUCACCCAGAUUUCCACAGGGCAACUAUGAUGGGGAAGGGGUGGAGGACAGAAAAGGUGGCGGAGGAAAUUUAUUACUAAUAUUGUGUUUGGCAAACACUUAUGUGUCAGGCACCCUUGUAAGUGCUUUACAAAUAUCGGCUCGUCAAUCCUCAUAGCAUCCUGAGAAGACAAACAUUCUUCUUCUUCCCAGUUUACAGAUGGCACAGACAGCUUUUGUCACUUGCCCAGGGUCACCCAGCUAGAAAUUAAUGAAGGCAGGAUUUGAACCUGGGAAGUCCAGCUCCCGAGUCCACGCAUCAGCUAACUCAAAUAGCUCUAAACGUGGACAUGACGACGGUAGCUUAAGCCGCCGAAGGAUGGCCAGAGGGGCCUGGUGUUGUGAAAGAAGCUUGAUGAGCAGCACUGCACCACCAGUGCAAGGCACACCUAUGCCUCGGUGGUGUUUCCCAGACAUCGAGCAUCUCUGGAUCUCAUGACACCCUGCAUCUCUCUCUCCAGUGCACCCAUGCUCAUCCUCAGUGACUCCUCUAGAAUUCUUGUGAUUUUUUAACUGGUGGGGGACAGAGAGAUCAUAGGAGCCCAUUUUUCAGAUAGAGAAAACUGAGCCUCAAGACCCGGGGGAGGAUCAAAAGGAACAAGUGGUAGUCUGGAAAAAAGUGGAACAAUGCUGUUUAACUUGCUGGCCGAAACUGGCUCAUCACAAAGGAGACAGACGAGGGAGCAGUGUGGCCACUUCUGACAUCAGUCUCAGGGAACACAGUUUCUCAACAUUCGUGGUAAAAAGUGAAGAGCAUCUCCACUCUAACGAUAAAAAUCAAAAGGCCUUUCAUGUUUUUGCACAUUCAGGUUAACAUAAUGAGAAAUGACGCUGGGAAUGACUGAUGAGCAGCUGUAAGCCCAUAUGUCUGGGGUGUUGCCUUUUUCUCUGAAUAGCAUACGUGUUUCUGCCUACCAAGAUCUCAGUGUGGCUGAGUGACUGAGCCUUCAGGCUUGGUAUUUCCCUGCCUCCUCUGUGGAUUUCCAAUUCUUUGACGUCAAGAAUUUUCUCUUUUGCACAGCUUUGCCUCUUCCAGGAGGUGAAUGGUACGGGGAUGACUCACAAAAGUCUUCAGAUAAGAGGCGGACAAAAGAGACCCUUGUUCAGUGGCAGAAGUACCUGCAAAGCCUUAGCUUUGCUUGAGAUAUGACCUAUAACUGCUCUGAUUUUUGGACCCCAGAAAACCCUUGAAAGCUCAGCUUCCUUAUUGCUGUGUGUUCACCUUAUAACAGCACCG
rnacentral:lncRNA from 1 species